UACGAAGGGGGCUAGCGUUGUUCGGAAUCACUGGGCGUAAAGGGCGCGUAGGCGGCCCUCUUAGUCGCGUGUGAAAGCCCCGGGCUCAACCUGGGAACGGCGCGCGAAACGGGAGGGCUGGAGUUCGGGAGAGGAGAGUGGAAUUCCCAGUGUAGAGGUGAAAUUCGUAGAUAUUGGGAAGAACACCGGUGGCGAAGGCGGGUCUCUGGGCCGUAACUGACGCUGAGGAGCGAAAGCGUGGGGAGCGAACAGG
rnacentral:rRNA from 1 species